GUUGUAUGGUUAAGUGACUAAGCGUACACGGUGGAUGCCUGGGCAGUCAGAGGCGAUGAAGGACGUACUAACUUGCGAUAAGCGUAGAUGAGGCAGUAAGAGCCACUUGAGUCUACGAUUUCCGAAUGGGGAAACCCAGCUGCAUAAGCAGUUAUCUCAAUGUGAAUUCAUAGCAUUGUGAGGCGAACCGGGGGAACUGAAACAUCUAAGUACCCCGAGGAAGAGAAAUCAACCGAGAUUCCGGCAGUAGCGGCGAGCGAAACCGGAUUAGCCCUUAAGCUAAUCUUGCGUUAGGUGAACAUGCUGGAAAGCAUGGCAAUAAAGGGUGAUAGCCCCGUAACCAACAGCGCUUUAUCAGUGAAAUCGAGUAGGACGGGACACGUGUUAUCCUGUCUGAAUAUGGGGGGACCAUCCUCCAAGGCUAAAUACUCCUGACUGACCGAUAGUGAACCAGUACCGUGAGGGAAAGGCGAAAAGUACCCCUGUGAGGGGAGUGAAAUAGAACCUGAAACCGUGUACGUACAAGCAGUAGGAGCAGGCUUUGUCCUGUGACUGCGUACCUUUUGUAUAAUGGGUCAGCGACUUAAUUUUAGUAGCAAGGUUAACCAUCUAGGGGAGCCGUAGGGAAACCG
rnacentral:rRNA from 1 species